rnacentral:SRP_RNA from 1 species
GCCGGGUGUGGUGGUGGGCACCUGUAGUCCCAGCUACUUGGGAGGCUGAUGCAGAAGAAUCGCUUGAACCCAGGAGGUGGAGGCUGCAGUGAGCCAAGAUCAUGCCACUGCACUCCAGCCUGGGCAACAGAGCGAGACUCUGUCUCAA